rnacentral:lncRNA from 1 species
CCACCUCCCCCCCAUCCCCUCCAUCCCCUCCCCCCUCCAUCCCCUCCCCCCUUCCCCCCCAUCCCCUCCCCCCUCCAUCCCCCCCUCCAUAGGAACCCAUAGAGAGACCCAUAGUGACCCCCUCCCUCCCCCCUUCCCCCCUCCCCCCUCCCCCCCUCCCUCUCCCCCCACCCCACCUAUCCCCUCCCCCCAUCCCCCUCCAUCCCCCCUCCAUCCCCUCCCCCCUCCAUAGGGACCCAUAGAGACCCAUAGUGACCCCCAACCCCCCCCACCCCCCCUCCAUCCCCUCCCCCUCCAUCCCCCUCCCCCCUCCCCCCAUCUCCCCCUUCCCCCCCCUCCCCCCUUCCCUUCCCCUUCCCCUCCUCCCCCCUCUCCCCUCCCCCUCCCUCCCCCCCCCUCCCCCCUCCCCCCCCCCUCACCCCUCCCCCAUCCCCUGCCCCUCCCCCCCCUCCCCUCCCCCCCUCCCCCCCCCUCACCCCUCCCCCCCCGGACCGGUGGAAGGAAUCGACCAUCUUGAGCUGCCCCCGGAGCUCCUUCUUGCUCAGGCGCAGCUUGAGCCGGUGCAGAGCGUGGCUGAUCCCCAGCUCCCGCUGCAGCUCCGGUUCCGUCAGUGCCGCCAGGGCAGCUCCGCUGCGGACCCGAGCGCGGCAGGCGGCCACGUACCAGGCUGGCAUCCCGACCCACAGCUGCGGAUGGGGACAGCGGCCGGGUCAGGGUCACCAUGGCAACCACAGCACUCAUCACCAUGGUAACCACAGCACUCAUCACUAUGGUAACCACGUUAUCACCUGUGGUACCCACAUCACUCAUCACUAUGGUAACCACACCACUCAUCACUAUGGUAACCACAUCACUCAUCACCAUGGCAACCACAGCACUCAUCACUAUGGUAACCAUGUUAGCAUCUGUGGUACCCACACCAGCAUCCAGGUCAGCGUCACCAUGGGAACCACAGCACUCAUCACCAUGGUAACCACAGCACUCAUCACUAUGGUAACCACAGCGCUCAUCACUAUGGUAACCACAGCGCUCAUCACUAUGGUAACCCUAAUGGUACCCACACCAGCAUCCGGGUCAGCGUCACCAUGGUAACCACAUCACUCAUCACCAUGGUAACCACAUUAUCACCUGUGGUACCCACACCAGCAUCCAGGUCAGCAUCACCAUGGUAACCACAUUAUCACCUGUGGUACCCACACCAGCAUCCAGGUCAGCAUCACCAUGGUAACCAGGUUAUCACCUGUGGUACCCACACCAGCAUCCAGGUCAUUCAUCACUAUGGUAACCACCUUAUCACCUGUGGUACCCACAUCACACAUCACUAUGGUAACCAUGUUAUCAUCUAUGUGGUACCCACACCACUCAUCACUAUGGUAACCACAGUAUCACCUGUGGUACCCACACCUGCAUCCAGGUCAGCAUCACCAUGGUAACCAAGUUAUCACCUGUGUGGUACCCACACCACUCAUCACCAUGGUAACCACCUUAUCACCUGUGGUACCCACACCAGCAUCCGGGUCAGCAUCACCAUGGUAACCACCUUAUCACCUGUGUGGUACCCACACCACUCAUCACUAUGGUAACCAGGUUAUCACCUUUGGUACCCACACCAGCAUCGGGGUCACCCCCAUUGUGCUCCGUACCCCAACCCCCAGACCCCCCCCCCGGUGUCCCCAUUGAUGUCUAUGGGAGCCCCCCCCUCACCUCCAGCCAUGACACCACAGUGGGUCCAUCCCAUGCAGCGAAGGGCAGGCCCUGCCUGCAGGCCUCUUCCAACAGCUCCUGCCUGGGGGGGGGCAGAG